rnacentral:rRNA from 1 species
UAACGAAUAUUGGGCAAUGGGCGAAAGCCUGACCCAGCAAUGCCGCGUGCAGGACGAAGUCCUUCGGGAUGUAAACUGCUGUCAGGGGUCCGCAAGCGAAGGGGUCCAACAGGCCCUGGAGUUGAGCAGCCCCAGAGGAAGCCUCGACUAACUCUGUGCCAGCAGUCGCGGUAAGACAGAGGAGGCAAGCGUUGUUCGGAAUCACUGGGCUUAAAGCGCGUGUAGGCGGCUUAGAAAGUGUCGUGUGAAAUCCCGCGGCUCAACCGCGGAACUGCACGGCAAACUACUUGGCUUGAGGUCGGUAGAGGUGCCUGGAACUCUAGGUGGAGCGGUGAAAUGCGUAGAUAUCUAGAGGAACGCCAGAAGCGAAAGCGUCCAUCUGGCCCAAUACUGACGCUGAGGCGCGAAAGCUAGGGGAGCAAGCG